rnacentral:misc_RNA from 1 species
AGGCCUCAAUCUUGUUUAUCUCCUACACAAGGAUUUUAUAAAAGGGAAAGUUACAAAUUAACAAUUUAAAACUCAGAAUCAACACCAGUUCAUUUCCAAAAUCCUUGAUGAAGACAGGAAUCAAGGAAUGCUUGAAAAUUUAGUUCUAACAAUAAGUUGUGCAACAGUAAAUGAUUGUUCAAAAGCUUAAGACAACAAGAAACCACGAUAAUAGCUUGAUUAAACUCAGAUAAGGCAAUGGUACAGAACACUGAGUUACAAGGGCGUCUUUCAACCAGAGGAAGAAGACGAAGAUUGUGUGUAUGUAAGGAGGGGAAAGCUUGCCAAGGGAGAGGAAAUGGAAAAGUGAGGGAACUAGAAAACUAGAAGAUCUUAAAAUUGCAUCACAUAGGGGAAUAAAAUGGUUUAAACACAAUAUCUUAAGCACAAACAGAAAGGCCAAGUCAUCAAGGAAAAGAAAUAGCU